AACCACGCCUUCGCUCACGGUGACUUACCCUGGAAUGAAACCUGCAGCUUUGGAGUUGCACUAGGCGUUGAGUUUGGGGCUUUAAAGCAUUCAGUGACCAGAAGCAUCCCCGGACGUGCUGGAAUUUUGGCCCCUGAUACUGUGAACCAUCUCUCCAACGAGAUGAGCCUGGUGCACCCUGUUUCUGUCUGCUGAGAGGCACUCACCAUCCCCGUUCCUGCUCACGGUGGUCUCGGUAACAUAAGAUCUGGAAGACAGUUGCCCAAGACCGUCUGAAAUUGUUGUCACUGAGGAUGAGGACGCUUUGGCUUCUGCUGCUGUUCAUCUACGAGGCCCGGAGCCACGCGGUGUCAACGCCCAACUUCGUCCUGCUGAUGGCCGACGACCUUGGCAUUGGCGAUCCUGGCUGCUAUGGAAACAAGACCCUCAGGACUCCCAACAUCGACCGCUUGGCCAGAGGGGGAGUGAAGCUCACGCAGCACCUGGCAGCGUCGCCCCUGUGCACACCCAGCAGGGCGGCCUUCAUGACGGGCCGGUAUCCCAUCCGCUCAGGAAUGGCGUCUCGGUCCCAAGUGGGAGUUUUCGUCUUCUCGGCCUCUUCCGGAGGACUUCCCCACAGUGAGAUUACGUUCGCCAAGCUCCUGAAGAAUCAAGGCUAUUCCACAGCUCUGAUAGGGAAGUGGCACCUUGGCACCAGCUGUCACAACAGAACGGACCUCUGUCACCACCCCUUGAGCCAUGGCUUCGACUAUUUCCACGGGCUGCCCAUGACCAACCUGCGGGACUGCAAGCCGGGCGAAGGCAGCGUGUUCACCAGGGCCUUAAGGCUGCUGGUCUUCGUCCCCCUGCAGGUCAUCGCCAUUACACUGCUGACCCUGGCCGUGCUCAUGUGUCUGGGGUUCGUCCAGGUGCCCCUCUGCGUCUUCUUCUGCCUCUUCUUCCUGGCCGCCCUGGUCCUCGGCGCCCUGCUGUGCUUCCUGCAUUACUUCCGGCCCCUGAACUGCUUCCUCAUGAGGAACCGUGACAUCACCCAGCAGCCCAUGUCCUAUGACAACCUCACGCAGAGGCUCACGGCGGACGCGGCCCAGUUCAUACAACGGAAUGCUAAGACCCCUUUCUUGCUUGUCCUGGCUUUCCUACACAUGCACACGGCUCUCUUCUCUUCGAAGGACUUUGCCGGCAAAAGUAAACACGGCGCUUAUGGAGAUGCUGCCGAGGAAAUGGACUGGAGCGUUGGGCAGAUCUUGGAUGUUCUAGAUGAGUUGAAACUGGCUAAUAACACCCUGGUCUACUUCUCCUCGGACCAAGGAGCACAUAUAGAAGAGGUGACUGUGAAAGGGGAAGGUCACGGAGGCAGUAACGGAAUCUAUAAAGGGGGAAAAGCCAACAACUGGGAAGGAGGCAUCCGGGUUCCAGGCAUCCUCCGAUGGCCGGGAGUGAUCCAGGCUGGGCUGGAGAUCGAUGAGCCAACAAGCAACAUGGACAUCUUCCCCACGGUGGCCAAACUUGCGGGGUCCCCUCUGCCGGAAGACAGGAUCAUCGAUGGACGUGACCUGAUGCCCCUGCUUCAAGGGAGAAGCCAUCGUUCGGAUCACGAGUUUCUCUUCCACUACUGCAACUUCUACCUGAACGCCGUGCGCUGGCACCCACAGAACAGAACUUAUGGGGACAGAAGACAGGGGCCCUAGACCCUAAGGACAAAGUGUGUGUCUUUCAUCUGUGCACUGAGAAUCAUCCAUCCCUCACUGGCUGAGUCCAAAACAGAUUGGAAAACAGAAAAGACCUGCCGCACUGUGGGUAAGCAGGAAAGUGGAGGUGAAAUAUGAGAGAGCCCAAGACCAUCCAAAGAAGAGCACGGCUGACCGCAUGGCACAGACGUGCGUGGAAAGCUGGCGUGAUGAGAGAGGAAGGCUGCAGCCUGGAGGACUCUAGGAAAUUCCCAAUACAGAGGAACAACUCCACUUCAAAGUGUCACGUGAAAAACUGCACCACUGUAAUAGGAGAAUCUUCCUUAAAAAAGUUGGCUCUGAGCUUGUCUGAAGCAGACACUGAACUCUGGACGCAGUGAUGAACUGCCUCUCCAACUAGACACACUUUUAGCAGACAUCGUGAAGGGAGUCAGGAGUCCAGAAUGUAUGUUCGGCAAUACCUUCAAGAAAGCAACGUUUCUCUUGAUGCACCUGCUCUGAUAAUUUGCGCAUCUGACUACACAAAUGCGCCUGCAACUGAUAGGAGGGUCCAGUUAUGCUGGAUUAAAGAUUCCAACGUAGUAGAGAGCCUGGAACCUUCCCAGAGUUUCUCCCGCUUUCAGAAGUCACAAAUUCAGAUUGACAAGAGCAUUUCUAAAAACUAGAGUUUUGGCAUUUGUCUAGCUUCAGGUAAAUGAUGGUGGUGGUCAUUACUGUGAGAGUUUGAAAGUCACAUCUCUUGCUCCAGAACGCACUUCAUGAAAGGACACUGGACUAUUGUAUACGCACUGCCGACACUUGUGUCUGGACACUUCUCUGUGGAGGGCCUCCCUGUGCAUUGCAAGAUGGUAAGCAGCACCCGACCUCCACCCGCUACAUGCCGUAGCGGCCCCCCUCCAGAUGAUACACCCAAAACGCCCCAGACGUUGUUGACUGGCCCAUCGUGGGCAACCCUGCCCCAGGUGAGAACGAACCCCUGUUUUGGAGAGA